rnacentral:rRNA from 1 species
GAUGAACGCUGGCGGCGUGCCUAAUACAUGCAAGUAGAACGCUGAAGGAGGAGCUUGCUCUUCUGGAUGAGUUGCGAACGGGUGAGUAACGCGUAGGUAACCUGCCUGGUAGCGGGGGAUAACUAUUGGAAACGAUAGCUAAUACCGCAUGACAACAGUUAUUGCAUGAUAACUGUUUAAAAGGGGCAACUGCUCCACUACCAGAUGGACCUGCGUUGUAUUAGCUAGUUGGUGAGGUAACGGCUCACCAAGGCGACGAUACAUAGCCGACCUGAGAGGGGGCUCGGCCACACUGGGACUGAGACACGGCCCAGACUCCUACGGGAGGCAGCAGUAGGGAAUCUUCGGCAAUGGACGGAAGUCUGACCGAGCAACGCCGCGUGAGUGAAGAAGGUUUUCGGAUCGUAAAGCUCUGUUGUAAGAGAAGAACGAGUGUGAGAGUGGAAAGUUCACACUGUGACGGUAUCUUACCAGAAAGGGACGGCUAACUACGUG